AAUUCAUAUUCCCGUCUCCCCCCCCCUCCCCUAUCUUCCCCCUUUCAGCUGCUGUUAUUACGUGGAGUUUGGAGCCUAAGCGUUGAAAACUCCCAUGUGGCGCCUGUCUUAAAUCGGAGCAUGCUCAGUA
rnacentral:lncRNA from 1 species